UCCGGUUUGUCACCGGCAGUCCCAUUAGAGUGCUCAACUGAAUGUAGCAACUAAUGGCAAGGGUUGCGCUCGUUGCGGGACUUAACCCAACAUCUCACGACACGAGCGCAACCCCUAUCCUUAGUUGCCAGCGGGUAACGCCGGGAACUCUAAGGAGACUGCCCCGGAAAUCGGGGAGGAAGGUGGGGAUGACGUCAGCCUAUCGAGA
rnacentral:misc_RNA from 1 species